rnacentral:tRNA from 1 species
GAGGGUAUAGCUCAAAGGUAGGGUGUGUGCUUAGCAUGCAAAAGGUCCUGGAUUCAAUUCCUAGCACCUCCA